rnacentral:rRNA from 1 species
AACGAACGCUGGCGGCAUGCCUAACACAUGCAAGUCGAACGAGACCUUCGGGUCUAUUUGCGCACGGGUGCUUAACGCCUGGUAACCUGCCCGUAGGUUCGGAGUAACUCCCCGAGAGGUGUGCUAAUACCGGAUAAUGUCUUCGGACCAAAGAUUUAUGGCCAUUGGCUGGGCCCGGGUUGGAUUAGCUGGUUGGUAGUGUAAAAGCCUACCAAGGCGACGAUCCUUAGCUGGUCGGUUAGGAUGAUACUCCGCACUGGAAAUGAGACACGGCCCAGAAUGGUACGCGAGGGAGGAGAGGAGAAUACUAGGGAAUGGGCGAAAGCCUGAUACAGCCAUGCCGCGUGAGUGAGGAAGGGCUUAGGGUUGUAAAGCUCUCUUACACGGGAUGAUAAUGACAGUAACGGGAGAAGAAGCUCCGGCUAACUACGUG